GCAUUAGUGGCUCAGUGGUAGAAUUCUUGCCUUCCAUUUGGGAGACUUGGGUUCAAUUCCUGGCUAACGCA
rnacentral:tRNA from 1 species